rnacentral:rRNA from 1 species
AGAGUUUGAUCAUGGCUCAGAUUGAACGCUGGCGGCAUGCCUAACACAUGCAAGUCGAACGGUAACAGGCCCUUCGGGGUGCUGACGAGUGGCGGACGGGUGAGUAAUGCUUAGGGAUCUGCCUGAUUGUGGGGGGAUAACCCGGGGAAACUCGGGCUAAUACCGCAUACGUCUCCCUGGCGACAGGGGGGGAAAGCGGGGGACCUUCGGGCCUCGCGCUAUCAGAUGAACCUAAGUCCGAUUAGCUAGUUGGUAGGGUAACGGCCUACCAAGGCGACGAUCGGUAGCUGGUCUGAGAGGACGACCAGCCACACUGGGACUGAGACACGGCCCAGACUCCUACGGGAGGCAGCAGUGGGGAAUAUUGGACAAUGGGCGAAAGCCUGAUCCAGCGAUGCCGCGUGUGUGAAGAAGGCCUGCGGGUUGUAAAGCACUUUCAGUAGGGAAGAAAAGCCGAGUGCCAAUACCACUCGGUCUUGACGUUACCUAAAGAAGAAGCACCGGCUAACUCCGUGCCAGCAGCCGCGGUAAUACGGAGGGUGCGAGCGUUAAUCGGAAUUACUGGGCGUAAAGGGCGCGUAGGCGGUGAAGUCAGUCGGGUGUGAAAGCCCUGGGCUUAACCUGGGAACUGCAUCCGAUACUGCUUCGCUAGAGUAUGGUAGAGGGAAGCGGAAUUCCGGGUGUAGCGGUGAAAUGCGUAGAUAUCUGGAGGAACACCGGUGGCGAAGGCGACAUCCUGGACCGGCAUUGACGCUGAGGCGCGAAAGCCAGGGGAGCAAACGGGAUUAGAUACCCCCGUAGUCC